rnacentral:rRNA from 1 species
GUGGCUUCAUAUGAGUCGAUACUCGGGGCACCUCCCACCCGUGUUGCCCGAACCUAUGUUGCCUCGGCGGGCCCCGCGCCCGCCGACGGCCCCCCUGAACGCUGUCUGAAGUUGCAGUCUGAGACCUAUAACGAAAUUAGUUAAAACUUUCAACAACGGAUCUCUUGGUUCCGGCAUCGAUGAAGAACGCAGCGAAAUGCGAUAACUAAUGUGAAUUGCAGAAUUCAGUGAAUCAUCGAGUCUUUGAACGCACAUUGCGCCCUCUGGUAUUCCGGAGGGCAUGCCUGUCCGAGCGUCAUUGCUGCCCUCAAGCCCGGCUUGUGUGUUGGGCCCCGUCCCCCCCGCCGGGGGGACGGGCCCGAAAGGCAGCGGCGGCACCGCGUCCGGUCCUCGAGCGUAUGGGGCUUCGUCACCCGCUCUAGUAGGCCCGGCCGGCGCCAGCCGACCCCCAACCUUUAAUUAUCUCAGGUUGACCUCGGAUCAGGUAGGGAUACCCGCUGAACUUAAGCAUAUCAAUAAGGCGGAGGAA